AGUGAACGCUGGCGGUAGGCCUAACACAUGCAAGUCGAACGGCAGCACAGUAGGAGCUUGCUCUUACGGGUGGCGAGUGGCGGACGGGUGAGGAAUACAUCGGAAUCUACUUUUUCGUGGGGGAUAACGUAGGGAAACUUACGCUAAUACCGCAUACGACCUACGGGUGAAAGCAGGGGAUCUUCGGACCUUGCGCGAUUGAAUGAGCCGAUGUCGGAUUAGCUAAUUGGCGGGGUAAAGGCCCACCAAGGCGACGAUCCGUAGCUGGUCUGAGAGGAUGAUCAGCCACACUGGAACUGAGACACGGUCCAGACUCCUACGGGAGGCAGCAGUGGGGAAUAUUGGACAAUGGGCGCAAGCCUGAUCCAGCCAUACCGCGUGGGUGAAGAAGGCCUUCGGGUUGUAAAGCCCUUUUGUUGGGAAAGAAAAGCAGCAGGUUAAUACCCCGCUGUUCUGACGGUACCCAAAGAAUAAGCACCGGCUAACUUCGU
rnacentral:rRNA from 1 species